rnacentral:rRNA from 1 species
GAUGAACGCUGGCGGCGUGCCUAAUACAUGCAAGUCGAGCGAACAGACGAUGAGCUUGCUCCUCUGACGUUAGCGGCGGACGGGUGAGUAACACGUGGAUAACCUACCUAUAAGACUGGGAUAACUUCGGGAAACCGGAGCUAAUACCGGAUAAUAUAUUGAACCGCAUGGUUCAAUAGUGAAAGACGGUUUUGCUGUCACUUAUAGAUGGAUCCGCGCCGGAUUAGCUAGUUGGUAAGGUAACGGCCUACCAAGGCGACGAUGCGUAGCCGACCUGAGAGGGUGAUCGGCCACACUGGAACUGAGACACGGUCCAGACUCCUACGGGAGGCAGCAGUGGGGAAUAUUGCGCAAUGGGCGAAAGCCUGACCGAGCCAUGCCGCGUGGGUGAAGAAGGUCUUCGGGUUGUAAAACCCUGUUAUUGGGGAAGAAAAAAAGGAGGAGAAAACACCGCUGUUCUGACGGUACCCAAUCAGAAAGCAACGGCUAACUACGUG